UACGUAGGGUGCAAGCGUUAAUCGGAAUUACUGGGCGUAAAGCGUGCGCAGGCGGUUUUGUAAGUCUGUCGUGAAAUCCCCGGGCUCAACCUGGGAAUUGCGAUGAGACUGCAAGGCUAGAAUCUGGCAGAGGGGGGUAGAAUUCCACGUGUAGCAGUGAAAUGCGUAGAGAUGUGGAGGAACACCGAUGGCGAAGGCAGCCCCCUGGGUCAAGAUUGACGCUCAUGCACGAAAGCGUGGGGAGCAACAGGAU
rnacentral:rRNA from 1 species